GUUGUUGUGGUCUAGCGGUUAGAACGCUGGCCUUGUAAUCCUGGGGUCUCGGGUUCGAUUCCCGGCGGUGCCC
rnacentral:tRNA from 1 species